CUCGGGACCUCAUGCUUGUGAGGGAGGCGGCAGCACCACUGAGCUAAAUCCCUGGCCCCCAAAUCAAUGAUUUUAUCUAUGUGUCUUAUGGAAGCUUGUUACCUGUAUAUCAUGUUUAUUACUAACAUGGAAGCUGGGAUAAUGUACUGUUAUAGAUAGUCAAUUGUGCAGGCAUCUCCCUCACUGUAUACAAGCUCUUUCAAGGCAGGGACAAACCCUCACCUUCUUUAAAUAUAAAUGUCAAGCACAGCCCCAGCUAUACCACAGGCCAUUAGUGGACUAUUAUAAUGUCUCAUAGGGUCAAAUAUUAAAGGGGUACAAGGAAUGGCUAAUCAAAUACAGUACAACUGAGAUGGUAAAAUAAGUUUAAGAACUUGUUUGUACUCAUGACAUUCUAUUACUGUACUUUUUAAGAGCAGUUAUUAAGUAUGAGAUGGACUGAUUCCAAGUCUCUUUAUUAAGUAUUCCAGUAGAGAUGUACCUAGUUACUUGUGGUUCAGAUACAUCAUCACAAAAAUCACCUCUUUUUGGGAAAGCUACUGAGUUCUCAUACUUUCAAACUAAUUUUAGAUGCUGCACCUACUUUACAAGUCAAAUUUAGGAGGCAAAAUCUGUUAUUUUAAAUUGGGAUAGUGACACUAGGUCUUUUAAAAAAAUCUCAGUGGAAAACACGCCAUGAUCUGUCUUGAAGAAAAACAUCAUUAAAUCUCAAACCUACACUUGAAAGAUAAUAACUUGUAACAUCUCAAUGAACUCUCCCACAGCUGGAAUAACACGUUAUGAAAUACAACCACCAUCACAGCUGAGAAAUAUAUGAGAGCAGGUUCUGAAUUACAAAUACUGGCUUGCAGUAGUCAACUGAAAUUCUCCUCACUUUCUAUACCAGAGCCCUGGUCAUGAGGACUCUCCAAUUCAUCCAAGAUGCUGUGGAUUAAAAUAAACUUCCUCAAAGUUUUGGCACCUCAGGCUGAAGCCUUCUCUAGCCUACUGGAGUGCAUUUGACCCUUUGGAGAUAGGAGCCUGAGGUUCUAAGUCUAUGAUGAUUCUCUGCACAUAAGAUUAAUGUUCAUAAUGAAACAAACCAUGUAUCCUGCUCCAGAACUACAUGAUGAUAAAAGAGAAACUCCAAAGAGCUGUCCUGGUAUAGGAGAUGUUGGAGACACUGGCAAGUUGUCCAGGGGUCAAAGAGAAAACGCCUAUGGAUGUCCAUUGUUACUGACUACACAACCUAUGAAAUUUAUUACGGUAUUGUACAAAUUACGGAAGAAAUAAGUGUUUGGGUUCUUCCAUUUCUGGACAUCACUGGACUUCUGACUUGAGUUUUGACACUAAAUUUUCAAAUGUGAAAUAUAGGCUCUCUCACUGAACUAUAACAAAGCAUAAAGUGCUUCAUGUGAGCACAUGUAUUUUCACAUUUCUUAAAG